rnacentral:lncRNA from 1 species
UUGUCAUCCAUUGUUUUUCUUCUUCCUCUCUCUCUCCGAUGGCUCCGCUCAGCCCGACGGCCAGCGUUCUGCUCCUCCGUCGCUGCGGGCUUGCGGCGUGCGCGUCGCUGAAACAUCCAAACCUUGCCGCGCUGCACGCACCCGCCCCGCAUUCUCGAGGGGCGGCGCGGUGCCGACUUCCUUAGCCAGUUAGCCGUCGGUUUCCUCCCCUCCCGGCGGACCAAUCCGAAAGAAACCCCACGCGCCGCUGCUCCGGCCGACCUCGUCGCCGCUUCCAUCUGUUCAGGUGACCUACUACCACGCGCGGCUCUUCCCAUCCCAUCCCAUCCCUCGGGCUCGAUUUUGCUGUGCGCCCAUCUCGAAUAGUUGAAAUGCCGAGUGGAUAACUCACGUUUGUCGAUUGCUACGGUCUGUUUUUGGUAACUCAUGGAGGUUUUUUUUGUUGGAAAUAUAUCUAAUGCAAACCACAACCUUCGUGAAAAUCUGUGUAAACUAUGGCAAAAAAGUUAUCUAAAUUUAUCAAAAAAAUCACACAUGUAGAUGAUACGAUGAUACACAAUUGUAAAAUAUCUUAUCCAAACUCGAAUUCGUUUGUGAGAUAUAAAAAUAACAAAUUUCUAGCACUUGAAAUUUGUUAUUUUUAUAUCUCACAAACAAAGUUGAGUUUGGACAAGAUAUUUUACAAUGUUGUGUAUCAUCAAAUCAUCUGCAUGUGUGAUUUAUUUAUGAAUUUAGACAACUUUUUUGCUAUGGUUUGCAAGGGUUUUCAUAGAGGUUGUGGUUUGCACUAGAUAUGCUUUUUUGUUUUUCCUCCUAGUAGCUGCAGUUGAUUCGCAUCGUAUUCCGGAGAAGCAAGUCCAAGGCGGUUACGGAACGUACGUUUUGGUAUUGGUCUAUCAGGUCCCCCCACCCCUGAAUGAUCACUACUUUAUGGUCUGAUCAGGCAAUAGGCAUGGCCUGAUAUGCUUGCUGGUUUGUCCUGCUACGGUUGUCUUAUUCUGCUCUGUCUUUGGUCCCCGUUUCACACACACUGAUUUUACGGCCACCCUAGCGAAUUUUCGGUAUCUUAAACGUUGCUUAUUAUAUAAUGAUGAUUGACGAAAUGUCAAUGGUUGGGCACUUGGGCUUGUUGUAGCACACACUAGCCUUUUUGUAUGGUGAAGAGUGGCGUCAUGGGCUCAUGGUUGAGUAUGUAAAUGUAAAGCUACAAAGCUAGUGGAUACGCUUUUAUCCGCUCUCUUCCCGCCAAAGGGUAGUUCCAGCCUACUAAUCAUUUUUUUUCAUGAAGCAUAUGGAAAAUACACUAAAAACUGGAAACUGAGGCCAGAAUGAUGAUUUAAGUGUUUUAUGUGUGAAUUCUGUCUGUGGUCCCUUAUAUAUUGACCUUCCUGUGUGACUGUAUAGUGUAUGUUCAUGUGGUCAUCCCUAAAUUGUGGUGUUAUUGUUGGAUAUUUCAUAUGGAUUUACAUUGUCCUAACAAAAUGACCUGUAGUGGUAUACUAGUGUGUACAUACUAAUGUGUAACCCCCACCCCCCUUCUGCUUAAGUCGUCAGAAGUUGUUUAUUUUUUUCCCACUCAUGAUUGAGAUAGAAAUAUUGGUUUUCCUUUGUAAUAACUGCAUGGACAAAUCUUAGACCAGCUAUUAGCCUAUUACUAAGACACCUGUUAUGCAUUGCCAAAAUCUUUGAAGUGCUUAGUUUGAAAUUUGAAGUUCCAUUGGUGCGAUAAAAAGGGGAACAAGAGUAGGGCAUGAGAUGUCCUCCCUAACAAGACCUGUUUUAGAUUUUGUUGACAAUCAAACCCUGACAGAGUGUUUCUCAUAGUUCCAAAUCCCAAGCUUUCAUUGUUAUGUCAUGAUAAUGCAUUAGUGAUGAAUUCCCAUUACUGAUGUUUUUACAGUCUCACCUUUAUUAAGUUCAUUUUGAGGAGAUUCCAUUGUUUUAUCUAGAACUCAUUAUCAAAUAGAAAAAAAAAGACCAGGAAAAUGCUUCUGGCAUGACUUUGCAUGAGACAGCAGCUUGUGCAAUAAUAGAUAUUUACAUAAUGUCAGAAAUGACCAGAACAAUUUGUAAAAAGGUCUUCCUCUUCAUAUCUCCACUUGCAUAUCCCGAUUUACAAUCUGCUGUUUUUGCCAGAUUGGAGGACUUGAAGCCUUUAUUGUUACGUUAGGUUAGAUUGAUGUUAUUCUGGUUCUACAUCUGAAGAAGGAAUAGGUGGUCACCAUCUCGAAUAACACUAAUGUCAUCUAUCUCAGCAUAGUCUCUACUGACCAAUUUUGUAGGGUGGAAACCUGGAAACUUCUGACCUGCAAAUGUUAGAAAAACUAUUAUAAAUUUCUGUGUGCAUCUCCUAUCUGCAUACUAUCAAAUAUGCUCCACAACCAAAUCAUAAUUUUAAAUCUUGAAAUGUUUUCUUACUUCCGAUUUCAAAAAUCUCCUCCAGUGAACCAGGCAGAUUGAUAAGCUUCCCAUUCUGUACUAAAGAACCUGUUGCAUUAUGAGGAUAUGCGUGAAUUGUAACUCUUUUGUUGGAUGAUUGUAUGUUACCACUAUCUUGAUUUUCUCUCGUAGUUAUGCCAUCUAAUGUAUUGUGGGAAGACCCCAGCUUCACUGUUUCAUGACUUGUUUGCCAAUAGCUUGCUGCAUCACAAUCUUCGGAUUUUAUCUGAACGCAGAACUCUUUGGUUCCUUUUUUGGUCUCGCAGUUUAUGUGAACCUCAUUACAUUUGUCUUCUCCGCCUGCCAUCCCAUCUGUCGCCCCAAAAUUGCCAUGGUCAUGACUGUUUCCUUGCUGUGGCAUCCUCAAUUGGAUUGUUUCUGCUGC